GAACGGGUGAGUAACACGUGGGUAACCUGCCCAUCAGAAGGGGAUAACACUUGGAAACAGGUGCUAAUACCGUAUAACAAUCGAAACCGCAUGGUUUCGGUUUGAAAGGCGCUUUUGCGUCACUGAUGGAUGGACCCGCGGUGCAUUAGCUAGUUGGUGAGGUAACGGCUCACCAAGGCAACGAUGCAUAGCCGACCUGAGAGGGUGAUCGGCCACAUUGGGACUGAGACACGGCCCAAACUCCUACGGGAGGCAGCAGUAGGGAAUCUUCGGCAAUGGACGAAAGUCUGACCGAGCAACGCCGCGUGAGUGAAGAAGGUUUUCGGAUCGUAAAACUCUGUUGUUAGAGAAGAACAAGGAUGAGAGUAGAAAGUUCAUCCCUUGACGGUAUCUAACCAGAAAGCCACGGCUAACUACGUGCCAGCAGCCGCGGUAAUACGUAGGUGGCAAGCGUUGUCCGGAUUUAUUGGGCGUAAAGCGAGCGCAGGCGGUUUCUUAAGUCUG
rnacentral:rRNA from 1 species